CUAAUUUGCUGAGUACUCUGUCAAUUAAGAAAUAAGAGACAUGUUUUAAACUUUCUGAUCACAAUACCGUUGGAUACGAGAAACCAACCAGCCAUGUCAUGAGUUUUCAAGUCACAAAUUUUCUAAUAAAAAUAUAGACACAAGCUUCUUCUAGGCGUUUUCGGUUGAUCUUCGAUUUGAUUCUAAUCUGGAGUCAAUUGCAACUGCUCCUUGUUAUUUACAUGAUCUGAUCGAGGUCUGCUAUUUUUCAAGUUCAAAUUGGUGUUUAAAGUCAUCUCAUCGACAUCGCCUUGUCCGGUUUGAAGAUUAUGGAAAAAGAUUGUCAUGUUGUCUCUCGGGUUCUGAAGCUUUUUUCUCUAUCUUGUUUGGGCUAUUCUCUAUAUGAAGUUGCGUAUCUCGGUGGUUUGAUCAAGCUUUAUCUCCAUCGUUUGUCUAUUCCUAAAAUUCUCUUUUAAAGUCUACAUGCAAAAUGAGUUCUUAAUUUGUUCUGGAUUUAGUUGAUUGUCCCUUGAUGUUAUAGAAGUUUGUUUGUUUCA